CAGCUUCGACUUGCAUCGGGUUAAUAAAGUGGACAUGGGUAUCGAUGCCGCCUGCCGUUACGAUUUUGCCCUCGCCGGCAAUGAUUUCGGUCCCUGCACCGAUGAUAAGGUCCACGCCAUCCAUCACCAAGGGGUUGCCGCUUUUGCCGAUGCCGGCAAUUUUCCCGUCGCGGAUGCCAAUAUCCGCUUUAUAGAUCCCGGUAUAGUCCAAGAUAAUCGCAUUGGUUAUGACGACAUCCAUAACACCUUCUGCGCGCACCGCCAGCGGAUGCUGUCCCAUACCGUCGCGUACCG
rnacentral:sRNA from 1 species